ensembl:snRNA U6 U6 spliceosomal RNA
GUGCUCACUUCAGCAAGACAUAUACUAAAAUUGGAACAAUACAUAGAAGAUUAGCAUGGCCUUUGCACAAGGAUGACACACAAGUUCGUGAAGCAUUCCAUAUUUUU